AGGGGGAGCCCGGAGAUGGGUACUGAGACAAGGACCCAGGCCCUACGGGGCGCAGCAGGCGCGAGACCUCUGCAAUGCGCGAAAGCGCGACAGGGCCACCCCGAGUGCUAGACGCUGAGUCUAGCUUUUCCUUAGUGUAGUAAGCUAGGGGAAUAAGCGGGGGGCAAGCCUGGUGUCAGCCGCCGCGGUAAUACCAGCUCCGCGAGUGGUCGGGACGAUUAUUGGGCCUAAAGCGUCCGUAGCCGGCCUAGCAAGUCUCUGGUUAAACUUCAAGGCUUAACCUUGAGAUUGCUGGAGAUACUGCUAGGCUAGGGGGCGGGAGAGGUUGAGGGUACUUCACGGGUAGGGGCGAAAUCCUAUAAUCCGUGAAGGACCACCAGUGGCGAAGGCGCUCAACUGGAACGCGCCCGACGGUGAGGGACGAAAGCCAGGGGAGCAAAGGGGAUUAGAUACCCCCGUAGUCCUGGCUGUAAACGAUGCGGGCUAGGUGUUGGGUUGGCUUCGUGCCAACCCGGUGCCGCAGUGAAGGCGAUAAGCCCGCCGCCUGGGAAGUA
rnacentral:rRNA from 1 species